CCCUGAGGAAGCCAGCCCUGAUUACAGAAUGGGCCCCACCUGAGAGAAAUUAGGUGAUUUCAGGUUAACUACUGAGUGGGCCCAGCUGAGGAAGGGCUGGAGGAAACAGAAUGCAGGGAGUCAAAAGGUGCCUGCAGGGUGUUGAGUGAGCACCCAGGGGAGAGACUGGGAGACCUAGAAGGGAAGGAAAGAGGUGAGGAAGGAAAUGGCACAAGGAAAAUUGUAACAUGGGUAGAGGAUUUGAUUUAGCUGUGCAGUACAGAGCCCUGGGCUGGAACCUGAAACCACCCCAGCCCCAGAGUGACUGUUGACAGGGACACUGUGAUGCUCUGCCUGGCCAUGAGGAAGUGCAUAGUGGUCCUUUGGAAGAAAUUUCAUACACAAUGAAAUCCAAGAUUGCCUACCUGGAACUUCUUUUUUUGGAUGGGAUAAGUACUGCUGGUAUGAAUUGCAAGCCCUGGAAAGUCUUGAUAGAGCAUCUUAAACAGCAAAGCGUAGAG